AUGGACGCAAGUCUGAUGGAGCAACGCCGCGUGAGUGAAGAAGGCUUUCGGGUCGUAAAACUCUGUUGUUGGAGAAGAAUGGUCGGCAGAGUAACUGUUGUCGGCGUGACGGUAUCCAACCAGAAAGCCACGGCUAACUACGUGCCAGCAGCCGCGGUAAUACGUAGGUGGCAAGCGUUAUCCGGAUUUAUUGGGCGUAAAGCGAGCGCAGGCGGUUUUUUAAGUCUGAUGUGAAAGCCCUCGGCUUAACCGAGGAAGUGCAUCGGAAACUGGGAAACUUGAGUGCAGAAGAGGACAGUGGAACUCCAUGUGUAGCGGUGAAAUGCGUAGAUAUAUGGAAGAACACCAGUGGCGAAGGCGGCUGUCUGGUCUGUAACUGACGCUGAGGCUCGAAAGCAUGGGUAGCGAACAGGAUUAGAUACCCUGGUAGUCCAUGCCGUAAACGAUGAAUGCUAGGUGUUGGAGGGUUUCCGCCCUUCAGUGCCGCAGCUAACGCAUUAAGCAUUCCGCCUGGGGAGUACGACCGCAAGGUUGAAACUCAAAGGAAUUGACGGGGGCCCGCACAAGCGGUGGAGCAUGUGGUUUAAUACGAAGCAACGCGAAGAACCUUACCAGGUCUUGACAUCUUUUGAUCACCUGAGAGAUCAGGUUUCCC
rnacentral:rRNA from 2 species